GUCCGUCAGAGUCCGCGCUGAGGGCAUAGAGAGCGAAAAGUCCGGCCAGACCGCUUUCCUCCCGAGAGCGGACGCGGCCGGCUAGGAUUCUCCGGGACAACGAGCGAAGGCGCUGGGCGGGGCCUUGCCGUUCCGCGGGACGCCGGGAAGGGGGUCACUCUCCGAGAGAGGUUCCGGUUCCGGGGCCGGCGGCCGAUUUCCCCGCGGGAGUGGGCCUGGGGCGGGCGGUUCGUCCCCUCUCCCAGGUGAGCGUCUCGGGGUUUCGGGGGCCGCGGCCGACUCGGUCAGGCCUCUGCCUCGGCCCCGCCACGUUCGUAGGCGCUGAGGACCCGGCCGCCCCGGGACUCCCGACUCCGGCGCGCGGCUCUGUCUCUGGGACGGUUUUUACCCAUCUCCUGUGUGCCGCGCGCGCCCUGACCUGUGUGGUCGCUGGGUUUCAGGCCCUGCGGCCAUCCACCCCGCCUUUGCCCACGCGCUUGGCCUCAGGAAAGGUUUUUUGCACAGAGAACCACAGUGAAUGGAUGGCGGGCCCUUGGCGCGCGCCUGCAGUCUCAGCACUCGGAGGCUGAAGCAGGAGGAUCGCUUGAACCGGGAAGUUCUAGACCAAUCUGGACCAUGGAGGGGGAACUUGUCUCGGAAAAAGAAAUCCAUUGAUUCCAGGUAAACCAGAGAAACAAGCAUCCUGAGAAAUGGUACACACGUGGAAAAUGCUACUGUGCUGAAGCAACUUGUUUCAGAAGCCAGUGAAGUAGGGAAUAUACUAAAUUCCUUCCAAAAGCAUCCAUCCAUUUAUUCAUGCUUAUACUGGACCCCAGGGCCGGAAGCACGGAUGUUAUGAAAGUUGCAUUUGACUUUCAAACCAAAACCCAACAUGCAAACAAGCCAGCUUCAGAGUGCACAGCUGUUGAAACCCGAAGGACAACACUCCAAGGAGUCACAUUAAGUAGCCCAGGCUGGCCUUGAACUGGUGGUGAUCUUCCUGCCUCAGCCUCCUGAGUGCUGGGAUUACACAGAUCUCAAAAGUCAGAAGUGACUCAAAGUCACACAGCUCAUCAGUGGCAUGAACAAGGGCCAGGUCUAGGGAGGGGUCUUCAGAUCCUGUCCUGUGCCUCCUGCACACUUGAUAUUUAUAUUUUAUAAAAGCAGCAAAGCUAGGUGUGGUGGCGCAUGCCUGCAAUCCCAGCACUCAAGAGGCUGAGGCAGGAGGAUCGCAGUGAAUUCACCAGCCUGGGCUACACAGUGAGUUCAAGGACAGCCUCAACUGCAUAGUGAGACCUUGUCUCAAAAACAACAACAAGAGCAGCUCAAUUCCACGUGCCUGGAGAAGCAUCCUGAGUUACUGCCAUCCCUGCACUUGCCACUGAGAUGACUCCCUGCCACCCUCAGUGGCUGGGUAGCAUAGGCCCCUGAGGUGAACAUCCGACCCAGAGAAACCAACCAAGCAGGCUGGGGGGUCUCCCCAAGAAGCACGCGGGGAACCCCAGUGGGAAGGGAGAAGCCAACGCUUGAAGAACUGGGAAACAGAAAACAAAGAAAGAGCAGAAGAAGCUGAGAGCAGAGCUCGGUUGAGAACCAGCUCUCCAUGCCCAGUCUGGGACUUCACUGAUGGGGCACCCCAGAAAUGGACACCCCCCCCAUGACUUACUCUACCGCUUCCAGGGAAGCCGGAUAGAGACAGAAAUGGGAUCUGCAAUUUCCAGAACAUCAAUUACUACCUGGGGACCCUGGGCAGGGCCUCUCCUUCCUGUGCUAUGGCCUCAGUUUACCCAUUUGUACAAUGAGGGGCUACUAGCUGGAGAAGCCAUUUCGGCUUUUCUCCUCACCCCGGUGUGGAGACGUAAACACACGACAACACAACACACCUACAAGAUGAGAGCCAUACAGACUGCAGCGGGAGCUGGCUGACCAAUGGCCGGUGCGGAGGCAAACCCAAAUUGUGCCCCCAGCUUAUUAUAUCAGCCCCUGCUUCCCCGUGAGGGGUGGUGGAGAUGCUGGCUGCAGAAAAG
rnacentral:lncRNA from 1 species